GACGAACGCUGGCGGCGUGCUUAACACAUGCAAGUCGAGCGGUAAGGCCCUUUCGGGGGUACACGAGCGGCGAACGGGUGAGUAACACGUGGGUGACCUGCCCUCAGCUCUGGGAUAAGCCUGGGAAACCGGGUCUAAUACCGGAUAUGACUCCAUGACGCAUGUUGUGGGGUGGAAAGCCUUGUGCGGCUGAGGAUGGGCCCGCGGCCUAUCAGCUUGUUGGUGGGGUGAUGGCCUACCAAGGCGACGACGGGUAGCCGGCCUGAGAGGGCGACCGGCCACACUGGGACUGAGACACGGCCCAGACUCCUACGGGAGGCAGCAGUGGGGAAUCUUGCGCAAUGGGCGAAAGCCCGACGCAGCGACGCCGCGUGA
rnacentral:rRNA from 1 species